rnacentral:rRNA from 1 species
GAUCAACGCUGGCGGCGUGCUUAACACAUGCAAGUCGAACGAAGUUUUUCUUUCGGGAGUCACUUAGUGGCGGCCGGGUGCGUAACGCGUGGGUAACCUGCACUUUACAGGGGGACAACAGCUGGAAACGGCUGCUAAUACCGCAUAAGCCCUUAGCACUGCAUGGUGCAUAGGGAUAAGGAGCAAUCCGGUUCAGGUUGGACCCGCGUCUGAUUAGCCCGUUGGCAGGGUAACGGCCUACCAAAGCGACGAUAAGUAGCCGAUCUGAGAGGAAGUACGGCCACAUUGGGACUGAGACACGGCCCAGACUCCUACGGGAGGCAGCAGAGGGGAAUAUUGCACAAUGGAGGAAACUCUGAUGCAGCGACGCCGCGAGAGUGAAGAAGUAAUUCGGUAAGUAAAGCGCAAUCAGCAGGAAAGAAAAUGACGGUACCUGACUAAGAAGCACCGGCUAAAUACGUG